AACGAACGCUGGCGGCAUGCCUAACACAUGCAAGUCGAACGAGACCUUCGGGUCUAGUGGCGCACGGGUGCGUAACGCGUGGGAACCUGCCCUUAGGUUCGGAAUACCUCCCCGAAAGGGGUGCUAAUACCGGAUAAUGUCUUCGGACCAAAGAUUUAUCGCGUUUGGAUGGGCCCGCGUUGGAUUAGCUGGUUGGUAGGGGAAAAGCCUACCAAGGCGACGAUCCAUAGCUGGUAUGAGAGGAUGAUAAGCCACACUGGGGCUAAGACACGGCCCAGACUCCUACGGGAGGGAGCAGUGGGGAAUAUUGGAGGAUGGGGGAAGGCCUGAUCCAGCAAUGCCGGGUGAGUGAUGAAGGCCUUAGGGUUGUAAAGCUCUUUUACCCGGGAUGAUAAUGACAGUACCGGGAGAAUAAGCACCGGCUAACUCCGUG
rnacentral:rRNA from 1 species